rfam:[Clostridium] clariflavum DSM 19732 chromosome, complete genome.
UAGCAGGUGAAAGUCCUGCAGUGGUAAAGGUAGGGCAGCCACUUAGUCAGUAACCAGCGUAUGGAGUAAUCUAUGCGUUGAAGCGUUACGGAAUGUUCCGAAAGGAGCAGGCAAACUGGCGGGUUGUAACAUAA